UGGUGGUCAUGGCGGGGUGGCUGCACCCGUUCCCAUUCCGAACACGGCCGUGAAACGCCCCAGCGCCAAUGGUACUUCGUCUUAAGACGCGGGAGAGUAGGUCGCCGCCAGGUC
rnacentral:rRNA from 1 species